CAUCUUUGAAGGCUUUUUUUUUUUUCUCAUUAAAUCUCUCAACUCAGUUCUUCUGAAGUAAUACUUCACAGAGAAGAAGACAAACAAUUACGCUUCUCACAGGAAACGCCGCAGACGAGACACCUGACAGCCUCCGGAGCCCCGACGUGACCCCGAUGCUAGUUCCUGUCUCGGCACGGCCCGUCUCACAGGAAAUAGCCAAGAAGGUGAUUUCUGCUUUUUUUUUUGUAUGUGUGCGUUGACAGGCUAUACCUCAGAAGUGUGCCAAUACGGCAACUGUCUGCGUGGGAACAAUAGCACCUGUCGCUCCGGGCAAGCAGACAAUAAAGGCCAGAUGGGAGCCAGGACGGAAGCAAACGCCAGCCCGAAGCAGGCCCCCCCCAAGGUAUUUGUUUUCCUGGAAGUGAACUAUCGUCAUCAUUGUGGCCUGUGGCACCUCCCAAACAGAUUCAUAAAAAAGAAACAGCUGGCUUCUUCGAAACCACGACUGGGUCGGUUUCCUGAUAUGGGUGGGGUUCUGACACGGGCAACAUAAAGAUGAAAUUAUUAUUAUUAAAGGUCAUAAAAAAAAAACCAAAAAAGAUGAUGACGAGCUACGCUUCAGAAUGACAGAGGCUCAUUGGAGAAACAACGUUUCCAUCCAUCUCGGAGUAUUUACUGGCCCGCUUCCUUCCUACCGACCGACACCGUCACUGUGUUGGACCUGGCCUCUGAACUUUAGCCUCCAUAUCACCCACCAUAAAUGUCCAACGUUUGAACAGAGCAUUCUUAGCCAGGGUGAGGCAACAGCGGAGCUCGGGGGGGGAUCUGGAGCCGGCCCCCUCUCUGCUUUAUGGUGCUCAUUUAGGAGGCUGCCGACAAACCACGUUUGUGUGUGUGUGUGUGUCUGUGUGUGUACCUGAGUUGAUUUAAAGUUACAAAUAAUAACGAUUGAGCAGUCCCGGAAUCCAGCUGGCUCCAUAGCAAGCUAACCAUCAACUAAUAAUGAGUGUUGGAGACAGACAGAGAGACAGAAAGUGCUUUUACUAAAAACAAAUUAAAACCUUGAAGGAACUGUAGUAAACAUUUCCUAAAAACCAUCACAUUUGCCAAAUCUCCAACAAACUAUAUUGCACUUCACUUGCGACACAAUAUUGUAGAAAAACUUGGUCAAAUUAUCUUCUAAUUAACCCGCAGAAAGUUUUUAUAGUGAUUUUUUUUUUUUUUUUUUUACAAUAGAACACUGAUACCACAUUUUUUAAUAUUAUUAAUUAAUUAUUAAUUAAUAUAUUUAAUAUAUGAUUUUUUUUAACAAUAGAACAUUGAUACCACAUUUUUUAAUACUGUGUUGUAAUAAUUUUGUGUGUUCAGUGUAGGGAAACGUCUUGUACUCAUACUCUGAAAAAGUGCACCAAUACAUCGACACCGAUACUUAACAAGUCUAUGCAAGUUGUUGCCAUAUCAGCCCGUUUUUUUUUUCCUUUAAACAUAUAAUUAAAAUAAAAUCUACAACUGGCAU